AGAGAGAAACAUCGAUGGGUUGGCUCCUGGACACACCCCAACCAGGUAUCAAACCCAAAACCUGGGCAUGUACCCUGACUGGCAAUUGAAUCCACUACCCUUUG